UUAGCUGAAACCAAAACAGAGGUAUAUUAUUGUUAAUAAUAAAAUUGAAUAUAUAAGAUUCCAGCUAAA
rnacentral:tRNA from 1 species